CUUUAUUUUUAUUUAUUCGGUGCUGAGGAUCGAACCUAGGACCUCACACAUGUGAGAUGAGUGCUCUACUGCUGAGCCAUAGCUCCAGCCCUUGCUCACUUUUUUAAUAGGAAAAAAGACAUUCCAAGUUUGAUUUUGAUUUAGUAUUCUGUUUUAUUUUGCAAUUAUUUUCUGUUUCAACAUUACAAUGCCCAAAUUCCUAGGAUUUACUUGUACAUUCAAACAUGCACACAUACAUGCUCAGUUAUUUAGUUUUUGUUUAGAAAAUAAAACUUUAGAAGAAAAGGGUUUUAUUGAUGAAUUCUCUGUAGAUUUUAUUUUUGUUUUUUGAAAUGUUACUCUUCAACAUCUUCAACAUGAGUUAACACGGAUUGUUUAUAGCCAUCAUUUUGAAUUGAGAUCUGAAGAGAGCUUUUCUGAGAAAUCAUUUCAUUGAAUCCUUUAUACCCAACAUUUUGUAAUAAUUACAUGGACUUGUAAAUAAAUACUGGAAUCUGAUCACUGUCCCCAACUGUUCUUCAGAGUAAAGGCAUUUUUCAAUGAGCAGGUGUCCACAGAUUAAAUUUUUUUAACCUAGCAAUUUUUUUGGCUACCCAGGUGUAUAUGAAACAAAUUAAUUUGAAUUUGACAUUUGUUACUGCCUUCUGUGUAUCUCAAGAUGUGUAUGCAAAUAUUCUAGAGUCUAAAACAUGAAAUCUGAAACACUUUUGGACUUUUGGUAGCAAACAUUUUGGACGAGAGCUAUUCAACCAGGAGUUCCUUUAUAUUUUAUUUUUAAAAUUUUUUGUAGUUGUAGAUGGACAGGAUGCCUUUAUGUGGUUUAUUUUUAUGUGGUGCUGAGGAUCAAACCCAGCGCUUCACAUAUGCUAGGCAAGUGCACUGGCAGUGAGCUACAGCCCCAGCCCUUUAUUUUUUUAAUUAAUUAAUUAAUUAAUUUUUUGGUGGUGUUGGGGAUUGAACCCAGGGCCUUGUGCAUGCAAGGCAAGCACUCUACCAACUGAGCUAUAUCCCCAACCCACACUUUAUAUUUUAUUUAAAAAAUUUUUUGCAUACUGGAGAUUGAACCCAGAGACUCAACCCAGACAAGUGCUCUACCUCUGAGUUAUGUUCCUGGUACUUUUUUCAAAAUUCUGACAUGGAGUGUACCUGAAAUAUUCAGGCUGACCUCUAAUUUUCCUUAUUCCUCAGCCUCUGGAGUAGCUUGGAUUACAGGCUUGUGCUACUAUGUCUGACCACAGGU
rnacentral:lncRNA from 1 species